rnacentral:lncRNA from 1 species
ACUUCCUUGAAGACACCUGCCAUGAACUCUUUCUCCAGCAGCGCUGAGGAGUGCGACAUUCAGGAAAUGGCAAUGCGGCAGUAAGGAAGGAAUCUGUGCCCUUUAAUGACCUAGAGGAGUAGAUCCACUUCGCCACCUGGACCGGCCAGACUAAUGUGGCCCGGACUCUCAGCUGGACUGACAGGCAAAAUAUCUGUGUCCGUGUACGUUAUUCAUCUGUCACUGGGUCAAGGUCUCCGGGACAGACCCCCUACAGCUGGCGCUCCGUGUGAGGAAUGCUGCGAAGGAUCACGACGGACCCCCCAAAAUGAAGGAUACAAAGCUGGAAUAAGAGGAAUGACCACUUCGUCUGACAGACCUGUUGCUGCACACAUCUGUACCCUUCGGUCAACAGAACCCGAUGCAAAGAACAGAAAAGGGAGAGAUGUGGGAGUUCAGACAGGCUGGUGGCGUGUCCAGAAUUUAUUCCUUCCGGUGGGUUCUUGGUCUCGCUGACUUCAAGAAUGAAGCCGCAAACCUUUGCUGCCUAUAUCACCCAAACCUGAAAAGGGAAAGAAGGAUGUGAAGAAAAUAAUAUAGGAGGAAGAAGAAUGAAGAAACAGCGGGCAAGAAAAAGAAGAAGACUAGAAAGAGAAGAUGAAGCAGGAUAAAGUGGAGGAGAAAUAGCUUUACUGAAUGGAAGUAUGUCUGUUACUUCUGCUCUUCCAACAACAACAACAACAACAAAAAGCCCAAGGAUGCUGCUAAAUAUCUUAAAAGGUACAAGCAAAUAGUUAUGAUAGUUUUA